UACCGGUGGCGCCCACAAAGCAGAGGAGCGCUAGACAGAAGCUUGCUUCUCUUGAGAGCGGCGGACGGGUGAGUAAUGCCUAGGAAUCUGCCUGGUAGUGGGGGAUAACGUCCGGAAACGGACGCUAAUACCGCAUACGUCCUACGGGAGAAAGCAGGGGACCUUCGGGCCUUGCGCUAUCAGAUGAGCCUAGGUCGGAUUAGCUAGUUGGUGAGGUAAUGGCUCACCAAGGCGACGAUCCGUAACUGGUCUGAGAGGAUGAUCAGUCACACUGGAACUGAGACACGGUCCAGACUCCUACGGGAGGCAGCAGUGGGGAAUAUUGGACAAUGGGCGAAAGCCUGAUCCAGCCAUGCCGCGUGUGUGAAGAAGGUCUUCGGAUUGUAAAGCACUUUAAGUUUGGGAGGAAGGGGUACUUACCUAAUACGUGAGUAUUUUGACCGUUACCGACAGAAUAAGCACCGGCUAACUCUGUGCCAGCAAGCCCGCGGUAAUACAGAGGGUGCAAGCGUUAAUCGGGAAUUACUGGGCCGUAAAGCCCCCGUAAGGUGGUUUCGUUAAAGUUGGAUGUGAAAAUCCCCGGGCUUCAACCCUGGGGAACCUGCAUUCCCAAAACUGGGCAAGCUUASAAUNUUGGUAANAGGGUGGGUGGAAAUUUUCCUUGUGUAACCGGGUGAAAUGCCUUAGAUUUUAGGGAAGGGGAACCCCAUUGGCGAAAGGCNAACACCUNGGACUGAUANUGAAACUUGAGGGNCCAAACCGUGGGGAGCCAAACAGGAUUAAANACCCU
rnacentral:rRNA from 1 species